GGAGAGAGGCUUUCGAUGAAGCCGGGGCGUGAGCCAUCCGGUGGAGAGAUCACUAGUGAGAAUGAUGACAUGAGUAGCGACAAAGAGUGUGAGAGACACUCUCGCCGAAAGUCCAAGGGUUCCUGCUUAAAGCUAAUCUGAGCAGGGUAAGCCGACCCCUAAGGCGAGGCCGAAAGGCGUAGUCGAUGGGAACCAGGUUAAUAUUCCUGGGCCAGAUGGAAGUGACGGAUCUCGAGGGUAGUUCAUCCUUAUCGGAUUGAAUGGGCUGCUUAGAGGUCCCUGGAAAUAGCUCCAUCGCUAGAUCGUACCCUAAACCGACACAGGUGGACAGGUAGAGUAUACCAAGGCGCUUGAGAGAACUAUGUUGAAGGAACUCGGCAAAAUACCUCCGUAAGUUCGCGAGAAGGAGGCCCGGUUCGUACGCAAGUAUGGGCUGGGGGCACAAACCAGGGGGUGGCGACUGUUUAUUAAAAACACAGGGCUCUGCGAAGUCGUAAGACGACGUAUAGGGUCUGACGCCUGCCCGGUGCCUGAAGGUUAAAAGGAGGGGUGAGAGCUCUGAAUUGAAGCCCAGGUAAACGGCGGCCGUAACUAUAACGGUCCUAAGGUAGCGAAAUUCCUUGUCGGGUAA
rnacentral:rRNA from 13 species